CAUGAGCUUUGCUUCGUCGUGAUACUGAUCGUUGUUAAUAUCUAAAGUUGUAUUCUACAAUUUCUUUAGUUUUUUUUUUUGCUAAAUUAUUAUUUGCGGCUUUUUAUCGCGUCAUAUGUAAGACAACCUUAAUUUUGACCGAGAAGAGUCGCACGCACCUCUAGUCCAGUACUGCAUCGAUCCUGAUUGAUGGGAACUGGCAGCAUUAGCAUUGGUAUAUAAACUACUGACCAAAUAAGUCGCUCUCCAUAUAUAAAGACACGCGAGUGAAUUCCAAAAAUUAUAAGUGCCGGCACACCGUCAAACCCAGCAAAUAUUUGGAGGUGAACCUGGAGGAGCAGUCCUGAACAGAAGCGACAGCAAGCUGUCCCAAGACUCAUACAUCAUACCCGAUUUAAAUGACACGAAUUCAGAGAUAUGUGAAGUGCAAGGGCUAGUAGAUCUCCAAAAUUACAUCAAUAGCGGCAAUGUUAGUAAUGAUGCUAAAUACUGUCGAAAUAGGUUCGUAAAAUACUUUGUAAAUGAAGGACGAGUUGAAUGGCAAGAUGAUUCAGUGCAAAAAACAUAUUUUGGAUAAUUUUUUGGUUAACUUAAAUAAUUUAAGAGAAAAAUAGCUUUAAUAAAAUAAAAAAGGAAAAUAUAUGACGUCUUGAUUGCUUC